AUAUAUCCCUAUGUAUAUAAAUCUCGGCGAAAAUUUGGGGUCUACCCGACAAUUUGCAAGCCUCAUCUACACCACUGAAACCCAGCUCAUCACUUGAGCUCUCAACAGCUCAAUCUUCCCUGUAUACAUGGCCAUCCUCUGCAUCCAGUUUUUGCCAACGACGCGCAAGUCGGAAAUCCAUCAAUCUACCCUCUCUGUGAAGCUCCGGCGACAGCACCGCCUCGACUUCCUCGCCUGCUGUUGCUGCUGAGCCUGAGUCUGCAAGCUAAGCGUCGGGACGGGCGAUGGCACGGCGCGGGCAAAGCUUGUAGCGACAACGUGCAUGUGGUCAUCGCCGGCGGCGGCAGGAGCCGGAGGAGGGGACCUGUGAG
rnacentral:lncRNA from 1 species